UACAGAGGGUGCGAGCGUUAAUCGGAAUUACUGGGCGUAAAGCGCACGUAGGCGGCUUGGUAUGUCGGGUGUGAAAUCCCCGGGCUCAACCUGGGAACUGCAUCCGAAACUGCCUUGCUAGAGUAUGGGAGAGGGAAGUGGAAUUUCCGGUGUAGCGGUGAAAUGCGUAGAUAUCGGAAGGAACACCGGUGGCGAAGGCGGUUCUCUGGGCGAUUACCUGACGCUGAGGAGCGAAAGUGUGGGGAGCGAACAGG
rnacentral:rRNA from 1 species